CCUGCUCCUGAGUAAGUUGAAUCUGUGUGUGUGUGUGUGUGUGUGUGUGUGUGUGUGUGUGUGUGUGUGUGUGUGUGUGUGUGUGUGUGUGUGUGUGUUCGGACUGUUGCUGAUCGUACUUUAGGAUAACAAACCAUCAUAUCAGCCUGUGACGGGACUAUGUGGGAUUGGAGCCAGCAUGGAAGGAACCAGAUGUUACCUUUAAAAGACUGUGAUGGAGGAUGCUCUGCUGCUUAUGCCUCCCACAGUUCUUUGAUCAUAGACCUCAACUCAAUGUACAGAGGACUGAUGCAGGACUUUGUGGUCUGGUGGACGUGGGGCUGCCUCCAGAUCAGUGUGGGGAUCCCACAGGAACUCCGGAUUAAUGAUGGUAAACAUCCAGGGAAAGGACACGGAGAGAAUGGAAUCCUCCAAAUACCUGGUUUACCUGAACACAGAAUGGGUCAAAUGACAGGAGCUCUCUACAAAAAUGUUCAAAGCAGACUGUGUAGUGAAGGAAGACCUUCUGGGUCAGGGAGGCCCCUGGACUCAGCACAGGAGGAGGAUGAGAUGAGGAUGUGGCAAGAUUGAAUAAACUUUGUCAGAUACUUUAGUGUUUUAAUACAAGGUGCUGCAUCUUUGCAAUUCACUGUAUGUUCUAAACAACUGAAUGACUCUGUAAUGCAGCAAUUAGCUUCAGUUUCAUUUAAUGCUGUACGUUGAUUAAAGGAGUAUAUCGUAUGUAAUGUGGAUAGAAAACGUCCGUAUUUCUUUCUGUGGCAAAAUAUGUCAGAAGACUAAAAAUACUUUAUUUAUUUUAAUAAUAUAUUAUAUUAGUAAACAUUUUUUCAGAAACCUGCCAUAUUGUGACAAACCUGAAUGUAAAAGUUCAAUUUGUGUAUUUUAUUUAAGAAUACCUACCUUUACCUGUGUCAUGAGACCGUUACACAGAAUGAGAAGGUACCUAUGAAAUUCAGGAUUAAUGCAGAGAGGGAGAGUAGCCGCCACAGAAAAAGAGAACAAUGAGAGUGUUAAAGGGACAUUUGCCCCCAAGCAACCAACAAACUAACACUGGUGAUAGAUUACAAACAUGGUAAAUGUUCUUCGCUAUGUGAAUUUCAUGUGCAUUCCAAAUGUACAGCAUAAGAGUUGAGAUAUGUAUUUUAUUUCUCCUUUAGUUUUCACAGUGUUCACAGAUGCUCAACUUUGAGAAAAGACGUUGACAUGACCAUCAGUACGAAGAGUAGUGUUCUUUUACUUAAAAUAAACCACAUUUGUUACAACUAGGGUGAUGCUGU
rnacentral:lncRNA from 1 species